CGGGGAAAGAAGACCCUGUUGAGCUUGACUCUAGUCUGACUCUGUGAAGAGACACGGAAGGUGUAGCAUAAGUGGGAGCCUUGGCGCAAUUGAAAUACCACUACUCCCGUCGUUUCUUUACUUAUUCAGUGAGACGGGGGACGUGCAUGCAGAUGCACAGACUUCUGGCGUUAAAGGACAGUCUUCGGACUGACUUGACCCGCUCUGAAGACAGUGUCAGGCGGGGAGUUUGACUGGGGCGGUACAUCUAUC
rnacentral:rRNA from 1 species